rnacentral:rRNA from 1 species
CAGGCUAACGCUUGAAUACAUUAGCAUGGAAUAAUGAAUAGGACGUUCGAUCUUAUUUUGUUGGUUUCUUAGGAUUGACGUAAUGAUUAAUAGGGAUAGUUGGGGGCAUUAGUAUUCAAUUGUCAGAGGUGAAAUUCUUUGGAUUUAUUGAAGACUAACUACUGCGAAAGCAUUUUGCCAAGGAUGUUUUCAUUAAUCAAGAACGAAAGUUAGGGGAUCGAAGACGAUCAGAUACCGUCGUAGUCUUAACCAUAAACUAUGCCGACUAGGGAUCGGAUGAUGUUAAUUUUUAAUGACUCAUUCGGCGCCUUACG